ACUCAAAGGAAUAGACGGGGCCCCGCACAAGCAGCGGAGCGUGUGGUUUAAUUCGAUGCGACGCGAAGAACCUUACCUGGGCUUGACAUGCACUCGCAACCCUGUGAAAGCAGGGCCUCCUUCGGGACGGGUGCACAGAUGUUGCAUGGCUGUCGUCAGCUCGUGUCGUGAGAUGUUGGGUUAAGUCCCGCAACGAGCGCAACCCUCGUCUUUAGUUGCAUUUCUAAAGAGACUGCCGCAGAUAAAGCGGAGGAAGGUGGGGAUGAUGUCAAGUCAGCAUGACUCUUACGUCCAGGGCUACACACACGCUACAAUGGAGGGUACAAUGAGAAGCCAGCCUGCGAAGGUGAGCAAAUCUGGUAAAACCUUCCCCAGUUCAGAUUGCACUCUGCAACUCGAGUGCAUGAAGGCGGAGUUGCUAGUAACCGCGUGUCAGCAUAGCGCGGUGAAUAUGUUCCCGGGGCUUGUACACACCGCCCGU
rnacentral:rRNA from 1 species